rnacentral:lncRNA from 1 species
GUGAACUGUGGCUAGGACUAGAACUACUCUACCUUCUCCUCAAUCUUCCUGAGCCUCUGUGACUUCUACACCAGGAAACGAGAGUGGAGAGAGAGAGAGAGAGAACUGACACAGGUUUUAGGCUGUCCUCAUUGACUCACUGCCUCCAGUUUGUGCCUGGGAGUUCUAGUUUGUUCUUGCUCUUCCUGUUUUACAUCCUGACCACUUGCCUCAAGAACUUCAAGGUCCAGCAUUAGAUGCAAUCACAAUAGCUUUAUGGAGACUGUUCAGUAAACAACCACAACUGCAUAAGAGGCAGACAGACGACUGGGUCCUGAGCCUGAAGCAUUCUUCAAUGUGACCUUGACUCUUGCAUUUUAUACUGCUAAAUUCAACCAAGCAAUCUUCCGGGUUCUGUACGGUGGUGGAAGCAGCAGCCCAUUGAGCCAGAGACCAACACUUCUGGGCAUAUGGAACCCAAGAGCGGAAAGCUUGCUGCGUUUCUCGGAAACUUCAGCUAAGGAAGGGCAGCCUCUGGAAAGUGAAGAAAUGGCACACUCACGGGAUGAGGCGGGAAAUGCCAUAGAGCCGGGGAGUCCAGCACCUGCCUAGGCCACACUGUGUACCGGAAGCAGUUUGCGUCCCCGAAUAAACUUAGAUACAAGUCCAGUAAAAACCAGAGUCCUCAUCAUCACCCAACAAGGGAGGUACUAUUGUCUUUGUUUAAUGGAUGAAGACACUAAACCUGCAAGGGUAAGAGUCUUGCCACAAGUGGGUCACAAAUCUAAGAAGUGGAUCACAUAUCUAAGAAGUGGAUCACAUAUAGACAAAGUGAAAGGGGAGUAAAAAGCAACCAGAGAAAAGAAGCAGAUGGGGAAACCGCUUGUGAGAAUGCCUUGUUCUGCAAAACCUUAUCACAGGGGCAGCAAGGGGAGCUGCCUUCUAUGUGACCUUACCUGAGUAGUUCCCAAAUCCUUGUUCUUGGACAUGGGAGGGCUGGAUGCCCAAAAAUCUCCUGAGGAACAUGAAUUACAAAACCCAAG